rnacentral:rRNA from 1 species
AUGAACGCUGGCGGCGUGCCUAAUACAUGCAAGUCGCGCGAACAGACGAGGAGCUUGCUCCUCUGACGUUAGCGGCGGACGGGUGAGUAACACGUGGAUAACCUACCUAUAAGACUGGGAUAACUUCGGGAAACCGGAGCUAAUACCGGAUAAUAUAUUGAACAGCAUGGUUCAAUAGUGAAAGACGGUUUUGCUGUCACUUAUAGAUGGAUCCGCGCCGCAUUAGCUAGUUGGUAAGGUAACGGCUUACCAAGGCGACGAUGCGUAGCCGACCUGAGAGGGUGAUCGGCCACACUGGAACUGAGACACGGUCCAGACUCCUACGGGAGGCAGCAGUAGGGAAUCUUCCGCAAUGGGCGAAAGCCUGACGGAGCAACGCCGCGUGAGUGAUGAAGGUCUUCGGAUCGUAAAACUCUGUUAUUAGGGAAGAACAAAUGUGUAAGUAACUAUGCACGUCUUGACGGUACCUAAUCAGAAAGCCACGGCUAACUACGUG